GUGAGGAAUAUUGGGCAAUGGGCGAAAGCCUGACCCAGCCACGCCGCGUGAGUGAUGAAGGCCUUCGGGUUGUAAAGCUCUGUGGGGAGGGAAGAAAAAGCGCAGGAGUAACUGCCUGUGUGUUGACGGUACCUCCUUAGCAAGCACCGGCUAACUCUGUGCCAGCAGCCGCGGUAAUACAGAGGGUGCAAACGUUGCUCGGAAUUACCGGGCGUAAAGCGCGUGUAGGCUGACAUGCAAGUCGGGUGUGAAAUCCCAGGGCUCAACCUUGGAACUGCACUCGAAACUGCACGUCUUGAGUACUGGAGAGGGAAGCGGAAUUCCGGGUGUAGAGGUGAAAUUCGUAGAUAUCCGGAGGAACACCAGUGGCGAAGGCGGCUUCCUGGACAGUAACUGACGCUGAGACGCGAAAGCGUGGGGAGCAAACAGGAUUAGAAACCCCAGUAGUCC
rnacentral:rRNA from 1 species